UGGGAACGUACCCUUUGGUUCGGAACAACCCGGGGAAACUUGGGCUAAUACCGGAUAAGUCCGUAAGGAGAAAGAUUUAUCGCCAAAGGAUCGGCCCGCGUCUGAUUAGCUAGUUGGUAGGGUAACGGCCUACCAAGGCAACGACGGGUAGCCGGCCUGAGAGGGUGACCGGCCACACUGGGACUGAGACACGGCCCAGACUCCUACGGGAGGCAG
rnacentral:rRNA from 1 species